rnacentral:lncRNA from 1 species
GUGUCUGUGUCCAGUGUGUGUGUCCAGUGUGUGUGUGUGGGUCCAGUGUGUGUGUGUGUGUGUGUGUCCUGUGUGUGUGUGUGUGUGUGUGUGUCCUGUGUGUGUGUGUGUGUGUGUGUGUCCUGUGUGUGUCCUUGUGUGUGUCCUGUGAGAGUGUGUGUGUGUGUGUGUGUGUCCUGUUUGUGUGUGUGUGUGUCCUGUGUGUGUGUGUCCUGUGUGUGUGUGUCCUGUGUGUGUGUGUCCUGUGUGUGUGUGUGUGUGUCCUGUGUGUGUCCUGUGUGUGUCCUGUGUGUCCUGUGUGUGUGUGUGUGUGUGUCCUGUGUGUGUGUGUCCUGUGUGAGUGUGUGUCCUGUGUGUGUGUGAGUGUGUGUCCUGUGUGUGUGUGAGUGUGUGUGUGUGUCCUGUGUGUGUGUGUGAGUGUCCUGUGUGUGUGUGUGAGUGUCCUGUGUGUGUGUGUGUGUGUCCUGUGUGUGUGUGUGUGUCCUGUGUGUGUGUGUGUGUGUCCUGUGUGUGUGUGUGUGUCCUGUGUGUGUGUCCUUGUGUGUCCUGUGUGUGUGUGUGUGUCCUGUGUGUGUGUGUGUGUCCUGUGUGUGUGUGUGUGUCCUGUGUGUGUGUGUGUGUCCUGUGUGUGUGUGUGUCCUGUGUGUGUGUGUGUGUCCUGUGUGUGUGUGUGUGUGUCCUGUGUGUGUGUCCUUGUGUGUGUGUGUGUGUGUGUGUGUGUGUCCUGUGUGUGUGUGUGAGUGUCCUGUGUGUGUGUGUGUGUGUGUGUUGUCUGUGUGUGUGUGUGUGUGUCCUGUGUGUGUGUGUGUGUGUGUGUCCUGUGUGUGUGUGUGUGUGUGUGUGUGUCCUGUGUGUGUGUGUGAGUGUCCUGUGUGUGUGUGUGUGUGUCCUGUGUGUGUGUGUGUGUCCUGUGUGUGUGUGUGUCCUGUGUGUGUGUGUGUGUCCUGUGUGUGUGUGUGUGUCCUGUGUGUGUGUGUGUGUCCUGUGUGUGUGUGUGUGUGUCCUGUGUGUGUGUGUGUGUGUCCUGGUGUGUGUGUGUGUGUGUCCUGUGUGUGUGUGUGUGUCCUGUGUGUCCUGUGUGUCCUGUGUGUGUGUGUG